rfam:Otolemur garnettii contig175423, whole genome shotgun sequence.
UGUUUGCUUCAGCAGCAUAAUACUAAAGUUGGGACAGUGCAGAGAAGAUUAGCAUGGUUUCUGCACAGGGAUGACACACAAAUUCAUGAAGCAAGUAUUCCAUUAUUUU